rnacentral:rRNA from 1 species
UACGUAGGGGGCAAGCGUUGUCCGGAAUCAUUGGGCGUAAAGCGCGUGUAUGCGGUUCGGUAAGUCUGCUGUGAAAGUCCAGGGCUCAACCCUGGGAUGCCGGUGGAUACUGUCGGACUAGAGUACGGAAGAGGCGAGUGGAAUUCCUGGUGUAGCGGUGAAAUGCGCAGAUAUCAGGAAGAACACCCGUGGCGAAGGCGGCUCUCUGGGACGGUACUGACGCUGAGACGCGAAAGCGUGGGGAGCGAACAGG